CCUACGGGAGGCAGCAGUGAGGAAUAUUGGUCAAUGGACGAGAGUCUGAACCAGCCAAGUCGCGUGAAGGAUGACUGCCCUAUGGGUUGUAAACUUCUUUUAUAAAGGAAUAAAACGAGGCACGUGUGCCUGUUUGCAUGUACUUUAUGAAUAAGGAUCGGCUAACUCCGUGCCAGCAGCCGCGGUAAUACGGAGGAUCCGAGCGUUAUCCGGAUUUAUUGGGUUUAAAGGGGGCGUAGAUGGGUUGUUAAGUCAGUUGUGAAAGUUUGCGGCUUAACCGUAAAAUUGCAAUUGAUACUGGCAGUCUUGAGUACAGUUGAGGUAGGCGGAAUUCGUGGUGUAGCGGUGAAAUGCGUAGAUAUCACGAAGAACCCCGAUUGCGAAGGCAGCUUACUAAACUGUGACUGACAUUGAUGCUCGAAAGUGUGGGUAUCAAACAGGAUUAGAUACCCUUGUAGUC
rnacentral:rRNA from 1 species